CGGGAAAAGCUCAAAUUUAAAAUCUGGCAGUCUUUGAUUGUCCGAGUUGUAAUUUAGAGAAGUGUUACCCGUGCUGGACCGUGUACAAGUCUUCUGGAAUGGAGCAUCAUGGAGGGUGAGAAUCCCGUCUUUGACAUGGACUACCAGUGCAUUGUGGUAUGCUCUCAAC
rnacentral:rRNA from 1 species